UACAGCUUCAAGACGAGCAAGGGUGUGGGGUACUCAGCACACUUCGUGGGCAACUGCCUGGUGCUCACGUCACUCAAGAUCAAGGGCAAAGGGUACCAGCACUGCAUCAAGUAUGAGUUCCAACCCAGAAAGUGGUACAUGGUGGCAGUUGUCUACAUUUACAACAGAUGGAGCAAAAGCGAGAUCAAGGUCUUCGUCAACGGCCAACUCGCCUCCGCUACUGAGAUGACCUGGCUCGUCUCUACCAAUGACACAUGGGACAAGUGUUACAUCGGCGCCACGCCCGAACUCGG